UCGGCGAAUGCCGGUGAAACUACAUCCUUCUAAGAUCGAGGACGCGGGUUCGAAUCCCGCCGGUGCCGACACGGUGGCGCCGUAGCUCAGUGGCCAGAGCGCGUGCUUCACCACCUUUUGUCGCCGAUCC
rnacentral:Y_RNA from 1 species